GAUGAACGCUAGCUACAGGCUUAACACAUGCAAGUCGCGGGGCAGCAUGGGGGUUGCUUGCAAUCCCCGAUGGCGACCGGCGCACGGGUGAGUAACGCGUAUCCAACCUGCCCUUCACCACGGGCUAACCCGGCGAAAGUCGGACUAAUACCGUAUGUUGUCCAUUGACGGCAUCCGAUUUGGACGAAAGGCUUGGCGGUGAGGGAUGGGGAUGCGUCCGAUUAGCCAGACGGCGGGGUAACGGCCCACCGUGGCUACGAUCGGUAGGGGUUCUGAGAGGAAGGUCCCCCACACUGGAACUGAGACACGGUCCAGACUCCUACGGGAGGCAGCAGUGAGGAAUAUUGGUCAAUGGGCGUAAGCCUGAACCAGCCAAGUAGCGUGCAGGAUGACGGCCCUAUGGGUUGUAAACUGCUUUUAUGCGGGGAUAAAGUGGCCCACGUGUGGGCUUUUGCAGGUACCGCAUGAAUAAGGACCGGCUAAUUCCGUG
rnacentral:rRNA from 1 species